rnacentral:lncRNA from 1 species
CAGCAAAAGAAACAUCUACAGACUCAUAUUGACUCUGUAAACCAAUUUGGUAACUCCGCAUCCAUGUGAACGACAAAAGACGGUUGUUUCCUAGCACUGCGUGCUAAGCUAUCCGCCCUUGAGUUCUCCGUCCGUGGUACAUGAACGAUGUCUGAGUUAAGGAAACUUCCUCUCAAAAGCUUAAAGUCCUCCAGAUAGCUUCCAAAUGCAGGCCAUUCUUCUGGUUCCGAAACCAUCUUCACCAAUUGAGAACAAUCCGUUGCAAACGUCACCUGAAUCUGUCUUAAAUUCUUCAUACAUUCCAUUGCCCAAAUCAAAGCCUCCAUCUCCGAAUGAAGAGGUGAGAGAGAUGCUCUUACAUUUCUUGCCCCUAAUAAACCAUUGAAACCCGGUAAAGUACUAUACCAG